rnacentral:snRNA from 1 species
GUGCUCGCUUUGGCAGUGCAUAUACUGGAAUUGGAAAGAUACAGAGAAGAUCAGGAUGGCCCCUGCACAAGGAUGAC